AUGUGGCUAAACCUUCUGUCCAUACUUGUAGUCCUCAAAGGAGUCCAAUCUCAAGUCCAGUUGGUGGAGUCUGGAGGGGAUGUGAGAAGACCUGGAGAUUCCCUCCAUCUCUCCUGCCAAGCCUCUGGAUUCAUCUUCAGCGGCUAUGAUAUGUUCUGGGUGAGACAGGCUCCAGGGAAAGGCCUGGAAUGGGUGUCAUGGAUAACCACUGGUUCUAGCACUUACUACUCUGACAAAGUCAAGGGACGCUUCACCAUCUCCAGGGACAAUGCCAAAAGCCAGCUGUAUCUGCAAAUGAACAACCUCAAAACCGAAGACACAGGAGUCUAUUACUGUGCAAGACACACAGUGAGAGGAAGUGAAUCUGACGCUGAGCAAAAACCUUCUCAUCAGAGCAGCUCUGAAAAUUGCAUUAGAAUAGAGUAG